AUGAAAAUUAUACUACCAUAAGUAAGAAACAAAAACAGCUUUUAAACUAUUUAGGAGACUGUCUUUGGUCAAACUUGAAUAAUGAACAUCCUUCUUACUAAGAUGCUGCUUCCUCAUUGUUUUAUGUUGAAACACAAGUGUAAUUUCCUGUCCCUUCACAGUGUUGUUUCUCAUCUCGGUGCAAGCAGAUUUAUCUGGCUCCUCGGUCGACAAAAUCAUCUCCUCAAGAAACAUGGGAUCCAGGGUCUGCUGGAGGAGACCCACUUUCUGUUGUUAUCAUGUCCUGCAGAUGAGUAGAGGUGCGGAGUGAGGAAAAGGAGAAGAGGAAUCAUGCCUUGAUGCAUUGUGCCUCCAGACAACCUCCACCACACCACUGUGUACACUCAGUACCUGAAGGUUAAGCCUGGGGUUUUCACCAGCCUGAAAUGGCAGUGAUCACAAAGAGGAAGAUAGGACACCGGCUCAAUAUCACCGGCAUUGACAGGGCUGGAUGCUACUCCUCCCCAGCUCGCCCUUCGCCAGAGGAGAAACCCCACGAUAGCUGGAAUCAUCACCGGCCAUGCGGCCUGCAGAUCCACCACUGGUAGCCCCCCAGUGGACCCUCCUACAGAGGUAUUUCAACUCACAUAAGGCAUCACACUGACCCUUUGAGGCCAAGGUUGGAGCAGAACAACACCCGAUGUUCGUGUGAACUAUUCCUAACAGAUGGGCCAGUUGGAGAGAUCAAAAUGCUGGACACAAUUUUAGCAACAUGGAACCUUGAGGUAAAUGAAGGGUCACGGUUACCUCCACCCCAAGCAGAAUGACCACAGAUAUGGGCUGUGGUAGGCAGAAUUCUAAAGAUCACGCAAAUAUAUUAGCGUCCUGAGUACUCAUUCAAACACCGUUAUAGGUCCUGCCUUGAAGGCAUUUUACAGGUGUAAUUAAAACAUCAAGCACCAAGUUGGCGAACCUUUAAGACAGAAACCCAGCGAGUCAUGUGAGCCCUUUACAAGCAGAAUUUUUCUCCAGCUGGGAACCGAAGUCAGGGACUUGAAGCACGGGAAGUAUUCCAUCAAGCAUCACUGCUGGCCUGAAAAUGGAGGGGGACACAACAAGGGAGGCCGGGGCUUGCAGAAGUGGCCAGCAGCCCCUUGCCGGCAGCUAGCAAGUGAACAGGGACCUCGGUUCGGCUGCUGGAAGACACUGGAUUCUGCUAACGACAGGAAUGAGCUUGAGAGAGCACUCCGUGCUCCAGGUGAGAACACAGCCAAACACCAGCUUCAUUUGAGCUGGAACCCAGCCAUCCGUGCCGGAAUUCUGACCUACAGCACUGAGAGCGGAUAAAUGGGUGCUUGCUUUAUCAGCUUUAUUGACACAUGCCUCACUAUAAAAUUCACCAUUUUGAAGUGUACAAUUCAAGAGUUUUCAGUAGACAAAGAGAUGGGCAGCCGGAGCACUGUCUCAUUUCAGAAUAUUUGUCUCACUCAAAAAAGAAAUUCUGUACCCAUUAGCAGUCCUCUCCAUCCUUCUGGUCCCUGGAAACCACUGAUGUACUGUCUGUUUCCAUGAAUUUGUCUUUUCUGGCUAUUUCCUAUCUUUCUUUUUUCUUUAUGCUUCAACAGACCCUCCACUCCAAUCCAGGAAGAGAAAGCCUUAGACAUGGACACCGAGGCUCAGAGAGGCUAAACGACCUACUUGACCUUUCCCAGGUCUGUCCAGAGACAUGCUCGUAAGUGUUUAACAACUGGCUCUCCAAAAAAAAAGAAAAAGAGAAUUGUGUGGGAUAGUCUCCGAAGCACAUAAUCAAAAGAGCUGAAAUUCUGCCUCUGUAUGGACUUAUGAUUCCUGGUGGUUAAGGACCACCCAAAAGAAAAAUUUCUGAAGUUCUCCAAACGUAAACCUCUGCAUAUGUCCCUACUUAUCACUACUCUGAUUGAAGUGACAUCAAGGCAUACUGUAUACCUCAGCCAUGGGCUAGUGGGAACAGAAAAGAAGCAAGCACUGUGAAAUGAAAGGAACUGAUUGUGUUGUAGCAAUCAAGAGACCUCUAACAAGAGAAGAGAAGCCACAGCCAGCAGCUAAGACACAGCCCCUAGAGGAACAUAAUGAACACAGGGAAGAUUUCAACCGGCAUUAAAUCCUGCUGGGAAAAAGCUCCCAGGAAGUAUGACAAUUGACAUUCAGAAAGCCAGCAGGACAGUGAAUCCAGGUGGUCUCCUGUUUGAAGGGGACUGCCCCAGUGAGUGUCUGAGGACAUGCCAAUCGUUGUCUACCCUCCCAGAAGAAUUAAAAUAUCUGAGAAAAUUAUUAGCUGGCCAAGCAAGCCUCAGGGUCAGGGCAAGAUUUUGAUCCCAGCAAGGAGAUGUGGGGAGCUCAUCAUGAGUCCAGGAUGGUGUCUGUCUUCGGUGACCUUUGCCCUGGUUUGUUGGCCAUUUGAGAUAUCCCUAUUCACAAGACCUCACUAAAGGCCAUGUGUUUUGACUUCCCUCUCAUUCUUGGUUGUCUAAAACAAGAGUAACAGCCCUAACUCCCUGCCUUUAAAAGUAAAGGAGAUGUAUUAAUUUGGGCCAAACAAGAGACAUUUGCUGUAGGAAUUUUCAUCAUCGGAUAAAGUCAAAUAUAGGGAUGAGUUGGCCAAUCCUGUCUCUUAGAACCAAGGUUGAGUUUUCUGAAGAACAAGAAAAAAAAACAACUGAAUCCUCAAUCAAGAAAUUCCAAUUACAAAAAAAUGGAAGUUUCAUCUUAUGGUUCCUACAAAACCAGGGACUUCUCAUCAAGAUGCCCAAUGACCUUCAUCCACUGUCUUUACUGGGCACACAUUGCUAUGGUUCUUCCAAAUGCUAAGUUUUUCUGUUUUGGGGAUUCAGGAGAAUAUUUCCCAUGCUUUUCCCAUACCAUCAAAAAAAAGUUUAACUCAAUCUAAGAGCAAUUUAAAAUAUUGUGUUAGUAAUGAGAAAUCUGACUAGCUCUAGAAGAAAAAAUAUAAAAUCAACAUAAGCCCGAUUUUAGGGGUCGAAUUUGAAAUUAAUGCAAACAAACAAACCAAAAAAAACCAAAAAACAAAAAAAACAACCCUUUUAAACUAGAAGUUGGGUAUUAGAAGCUGGCUUCUUUCAAAAAAAAAAAGACAACUUAAGCUCUAACGUCUUCUGUGUAAUAGCGCCCUCUGGCUUUAGAUUACUUAACAACGUAUUUGGCUUUGAGCCUCAGGUUUUGUUGAAAGUCCAUGACUGUGCUGGAAAGACAACCCAGGAUUCCUCACAUCUGAAACCCUGCUCAUCUGUUUCUCCUGCAUCUGCCUUCGCAAAGAGGAAGUAUGACUCAAGCAAUGCUUCGUCUUCUGUGUAAGAAAGGACUGUCAAAGAACAGUGCCAAUAAGUCCUUGGGGAUCUUAGCAAUGCCUUACUAUUCUUUGGAAAGUACUCUCUUGAGACUUUAACAUGGAGCUGCCAGCAUACACCAAGGAAAAUGGUCUUCAGGUUGAGAUAUGGCCAACUAGAACAAAUUGUGGGAAAGGAAGAGACCCAUCCAAGACCAUUAGCAUAAAUGAUUAUUGAUCUGUCAUUCAUGAAGGAAGCUGUUGAGGCUUCCUUAUUUCUUGUUUGUGCUUAAUUUUAAGACUCCUAAAGUGACCUCUAAAAAGAAAGAAAAUAUUCUUGGUCAAAUGAAACAAAACCUUGCUUGUUUUCGAGUCUUAAUAUGAAUACAGAUAAUCAAAGA